rnacentral:rRNA from 1 species
GUCGAGCGAACUGAUUAGAAGCUUGCUUCUAUGACGUUAGCGGCGGACGGGUGAGUAACACGUGGGCAACCUGCCUGUAAGACUGGGAUAACUUCGGGAAACCGAAGCUAAUACCGGAUAGGAUCUUCUCCUUCAUGGGAGAUGAUUGAAAGAUGGUUUCGGCUAUCACUUACAGAUGGGCCCGCGGUGCAUUAGCUAGUUGGUGAGGUAACGGCUCACCAAGGCAACGAUGCAUAGCCGACCUGAGAGGGUGAUCGGCCACACUGGGACUGAGACACGGCCCAGACUCCUACGGGAGGCAGCAGUAGGGAAUCUUCCGCAAUGGACGAAAGUCUGACGGAGCAACGCCGCGUGAGUGAUGAAGGCUUUCGGGUCGUAAAACUCUGUUGUUAGGGAAGAACAAGUACGAGAGUAACUGCUUGUACCUUGACGGUACCUAACCAGAAAGCCACGGCUAACUACGUGCCAGCAGCCGCGGUAAUACGUAGGUGGCAAGCGUUAUCCGGAAUUAUUGGGCGUAAAGCGCGCGCAGGCGGUUUCUUAAGUCUGAUGUGAAAGCCCACGGCUCAACCGUGGAGGGUCAUUGGAAACUGGGGAACUUGAGUGCAGAAGAGAAAAGCGGAAUUCCACGUGUAGCGGUGAAAUGCGUAGAGAUGUGGAGGAACACCAGUGGCGAAGGCGGCUUUUUUGGUCUGUAACUGACGCUGAGGCGCGAA